rnacentral:tRNA from 1 species
GGGAAAGAAGCACUAUGGCAGUGUGGUUGGCUUGAAACCAGCAGGAGGGGGUUCAAUUCCUUCCUUUCUCG